rnacentral:lncRNA from 1 species
GUAAGCAAAACAUUUCUGCUGACUUUUGAGAAUUCUCUCUUCUUCCUCAACAUAGAAAGGGCUCAGAAAAUGCAAAAGGGAGGGGAAAGAGUUACGAGUAGCCUCCUCUCACUGCCACUGUGUCCUGGGGAGGAGAUGGACAUUUGAAUUGGACAAGAAACUGAAGUGGAUGGCACUGGAUUGCCUCUUUUCCACUCUUUUCCAGCCUAAAAAGUUCACAAAAUUGGCAUUUGCUGGAGAAGCCAUGAAGUCUUGGGAAAGGGAGAUUCGACAGAGCAUGUUACAGCCACAAUAGGAGAAAAAAACCUUCUCAGGUUUGAACCCUGCUGAGUUCACAGUUUUCAAUAAAUUGCUGACAAAUGCAAGGUGUUCAGACAAGUAGGUAGUGCUCCACAAAUAGUAGAUAUUAUUCUAGUCACCUAGAGAGAAUAAAUGUUCAGAAAAUGUCUACGUAUGUUUUGCUAUCAAAGAGCGAAUAAGAUAUUCAAUUUGUAUUUUUGCUUUAGAUAAAGCAUAAUGCCCUUAUUAUGCCUUCAAGUCUUCAUUUCCCCCACGAAGGGACGUUUUUCUGUGUUAUUUGACCAUAUGCCUUUUGCUACGCUGGGCAUUUGCCUUCUUUGACCUUUUCUGGACAUUCCCACUUUACCCGCCAGGGAUUGAGGAGAUUACAAAGGUCAUCUAAUCAUCUAGUCUCGUUUCCAAUUUGGUUAAGAUAAAAUAUUAUUUAAUUACUAGAAAAAUACUUUGUUAUUAAAAUCAAAGUGUCUUGUGCUGGUUUGCAAACAAAGUAAUUUCUACACGCUUAUAACACAAAGAGGAGACCAGAUGUGGUGAAGUAGAAGAGAGAGGACACUGGCUUUGGAGCCAGGGGACCCAGAGCGGCUCCCAGUAAUGUGAUAUUUUAUGUGUUUUCCAACCCCAUGCAGCAUCCAUUGCCUCACCUGUAAAAUAGGGGUUUUGACAAGGACCACAUCGAGUUAUUGUGAAGAGUAAAUAGAUGAUUAUAGAAAACAUGUCACACAGUGCUAGGCACAUAGAUGAAGCUUAAGGAAUAGCUGUUGUCCCGUUUCCAAGGUUGCAGAGUCAGAAGACACCCCUAAGAAGACAUAAAGUACUGUUGUUCAGAAGGAAGGCAUUGGGAAAGUCAAAAGGACACCAGAAAUAGUGAACUCAACAUUGAUUUGCACAUUUGACCAAGGCUGGAGCAGUGGAAAGAGAACUAUGCACAAGGAUGAGGAGAAUAAUUGUGAUUGUGGGACAGGGCCCCAGGAGAGAGGUAUAGCAGACUGGCCUUGGAAAGCCUGCAGCUGCAUCAGGAAGGCAAAGCAUGCUUGGAAAAAAUGCUGACUGAAGUAAGGCAGAACCUAGAGGGUGGGUGGAUACUCCAUAACUGUAUUCAAAUUGGGCACUCUCUUGUUGUAAAGCCUUUGCGUAAGUGCAACUGAGAAAAUAUAUGGUAGAAAAAAAAGGCUAUGUUCUGACCAGCUCGAGGAUGGGGGAAUAUCAUGCAUAAUAUGUGCAAACUAUGUGAAGAAAAGUACAAGUUAAUAUGAUCACAAAAAUAUUCAGAAAAACACAGAGUGAAGGAGGUAAGACAAGAGGUAAUGAAAUAAUUAGUGAAGUAUGGGCUCCUGUGCAAGGGAAUAUCUUGAGACAGAUUUUUGAAGAGAAGUUAGAUGUGGGCUGAUGAAGAGGAACUGUCACUCCACAUUGAGGGAGUGGUCUCUGCAAAGGUGGUAGCUUAGCUUGGGUUCCUAAGAAAAGAGUCUGAGGUUAAUCUUAUGAGCACAUGCUUUAUUGUAGAGUACAAGUCCAGAGAAGCAAGUGUGACAAAAAAGGAAGGAUAGGAAACAAAAAGUCAUGUUAUUGAGCUCUGGUUAUAGGAAAUUUAAAUGGUUACUCAGUUACACUGAACAUCUCCAGAGAGAUUCAUGAAUUCACGGCACCUUAGAAAAAUUCUUUGGUGGAAAGAAGGGCAAACAAUCUAUCUACUGGCUUCUUUCCAUCUCCUGUUUCUCAUGCUUACUUGACCUAACAAAGUGUUAACUUGCACAUCUUCCCUCCAGACAGCUGCUGGGUUAGUAACUAACUCCAACUUAGUUACUGGAGCUGCUGCUGUUUCUGCUGUGAUGAGAGGUAUGGAGGCCAUGUCAAAGCCUGGCUUUUUCUCCCCAGGAUUUGCAGGGAAGGCUGCAAAAACCAGGGUGAGAGAUGCUGAGUCUUCUGAGUUUUAUGACCAUUGGAAUGGCAUGAGUCAAUCAACCAUUGCUGAGCUCCUCUGAUCAGGACUCUGGGCAAGCAACAGUCUGGGGCUGAGGGUAGAUGAGGCCCAGGAGGAUCUGAGGAAAUGUCCAAGAUAGGUCUGGAAGAGUGAGGAAAAUGGAUGAUGAAAACUUAGCAUGUCUAGAAGGAGUGAGGUCUCAACAAAUGUGUAACUUAGUGUAUGUAGUAUUGGAGUGACGUUCUAGGAAUGGCCAAAAGCUAGGAUUCCAUAGGCUGAUUUGAAUGAAUUUGAGAUGUGUGCCCAUUUUGUUGUGCUUAUUAUGGCUGAUCCUGUAGUUUUAGCAAUUCAGUGAUCAUCUCAACUUUCUUCCUAAACAGCUGAGCCUGGAAAGCUAAAACUAACACUUUUCAGACUUCAAUGAAAUUACUGUUCUGAAUAUGAUUCAGGUUCUACCAAAGAGAUGUAUUCAUGAGAACUGAAUUUAGAACUGAAGGAAGUGGGGAGAGAAGCAUGAGCUGUGAUGGUAGUAGCUGCUGGGUAAGUGGCCAGCAGCCACUAUGGUACUUCCUAUCAUGGCAGAGACAACUGGUCUCAGAGGUGCCCAGUUGUGUCUUGUGGCUUUGGACAUUUCUCCUGGAUGCUCAACCUAGAGACUGUUUAUCUCUCAAGUGAUUUGUAAACCUUUUAAUGCUCUGUGAAAAAAAAAUUUAAUCCCUUUUGCCUAAACCAGCUAGAGUGGAUUCUAUUCUGAGGAAAUGACCAUAUUUUAAAGGUUUGCUGGAGAAGUCUGGAUGGGGGGUGGAGAGAAAGAAAUAUAAAAAUAGAGAUAGAAAUAGCUAAAUGGAGGGUAGAGAUAUUAAUUCCGGCUCUUAGAUGGUGGGCAACUCACUACCCACAAUUAUUAAAUCUGAUUUUUCCUCUCAGCACACAUUCAUAUAGAUACCAUGUAUGAAGAAUACAGGAGAACCCUGAAGGUAUCCAAAUGAAAUUGACUUCCCAGUCAUCAUUAAACAUUUAAAGAACUUCAACAAAACAUGCUCCAUGUUAAGGACUUUAGCACCUAAAAAUAAGGAAAGAUGCAGCUUUUGAUUUUAAACAUUUAUUGUUUUCAAGGGAAAGCCUUCUGUAUCCCUGCACACUUUAAGCAGGUAAAUGUUAGAUUGCUGCAUCAGCUCCUGGACUCUGCAUAACUUCUGAUGUCCUUCUGGUAAACCUUGAUCCCUUAUUGCAUCAUGUGACCUCCUCUCCCCCAGCUCUAGCUCUGCCUAGCCGCCUACACACAGACAGGAUGCUUGGUGCUAUGACAGCCAUCUUGAAGCCAUGAAAUCAUAAAAACAAGGACAAAAAGUCAACUUACUGAGAAUGGUAGAGAGGAAGAAUAGAAAGACCCAAUUCCUAGUGACAGCAUUAAGUCACUACUUAUGUCCUGAACUCUGUAUCCAGAGUUCAGAUUUUGUAAAAACAAAGCAAAAAAGAAAACAGAAACAACCCUAUCUAUUUAUGUUAUUAUUAAUUUACUUUGUUAUUUGCUGCUGAAAGCGUUCCUAACUGGUAUAAAUAAGAAGGACUAAAGAACUUACCCUCGUCAGAGAUUUACUCUGUAAGUGAGCAUGGUUGUUGAAUAUGUGACCAGUCUAAGUAGUGAGGCAACACAGAGUGGAAGAAUAUCUGGAUUUUGUUAUUGGCUCCUGUACUUCUCAGCUGUGUACAAAGCAAACCUUGCUUUACAGGAACUUUGGCUCUCUAUUUACAAGCAGUCCCUGGAAAGUAAUACAGUGGAGGAGGACCCCCAUGAUUACAUUCUGCGAGAGGAGUUCCUAAGCAUUGCAGCAUGAAAAACAGUGCUUAAAAGCUUAAGCAAUAUUUUUCAAAAUAUUGACCUAUCUCAGUAGGAACUGAGAUAGGCAACAAAUCUGACUGACAGAAUACAUUUCAAACUUUCAAAAUUGUGUCUUCCUCUUACUGUGGGUCCUUACCCCUGAACAAAGUUCAUCACACCUGGCUUCACGUUGCAGGGUAUAUUUUUUUGAUGCCUGCCUUAUCUGGCUUCCAGUCAUGCCCUGGAAUUUGAGUGUCUCUCAAAUGUAAAAAUCAAAAAGUAUAUUGUAAAAAUGUCUAUACUAUGCAAAGUAAUAUACAGAUUCAAUGCAAUUUCUAUCAAGAUUCCAAUGACAUUUUUCACAGAAAUAGAAAAAAAUCUAAAAUUUAUAUGAAAACAUCAAAGACAUCAAAUAGCCAAAACAAUCUUGAACAAAAAGAACAAAGCUGGAAGCAUUACACUAUUUGAUUUCAAAAUGUACUGCAAAGCUAUAGCAAUCAAAACAACAUGGUACUGGCACAAAAACAGAAAUAUGGACCAAUGAAAUUGAACAGAGAGCCCAGAAAUAAAUUCACCCAUUUACAGUUAACUGAUCUUCAACAAAAGUGCCAAGAUCAUACAACUGAGAAAGGACAGUCUCUUCAAUAAAUGGUGCUGGAAAAACUUGAUAUCCACAUGCAGAAGAAUGAAAUUGGACCCUUAUUUCAUCCCAUAUACAAAAAUCAACAUAAAAUGGAUUAAAGACUUAAAUGUAAGACCAGAAACUAUAAAACUAUUAGAAGAAAACCUAGAGACAUUGACAUUGGUCUUGGCAAAGAUUUUUUGGAUAUGACCCCAAAAGCACAGGCAGCAAAAGCAAAACUAGACAAAUGGAAUUACAUCAAACCAAAAAAAUAGCUUCACAGCAAAAGAAGCAAUCAACAGAGUGAAGAGAAAACCUAUGCAAUGGGAGAAAAUAUAUGUAAAUCAUACAUGAAAUAAGGAACUAAUAUCCAAAAUAUAUAAGAAAUUCAAACAUCUGAACAGCAAAAAAAAAAAAAAAAAGAAAAUUUAAAAAUGGGCAAAAGAUCUGAACAGACAUUUCUGCAAACAGAAUGUAUGAAAGGCCAACAGGUAUAUGAAGAGAUGCUCAACAUCACUAAUCAUUGGAGAAAUGCAAAUUAAAACCACAAUUAGAUAUCUAUCAUCUCACCUCUCUAAGAUAAGCAUUUGCAAAAAUGUGGAGAAAAGAGGACCCUUGCACGCAGUUGGUGGAAAUGUACAUUAGUAUAGCCUCAUGGAAAAUAGUAUGGAGGUUCCUCAAAAAAUUAAAAAUAGGACUACCAUAUGAUCCAGCAAUCUCACUUCUGAAUAUGUAUCCAAAGGAAAUGAAAUCAGUAUGGUAAAAAGAUAUCUGCAUUCCCAUAUUCAUUGCAACAUUACUUGCAAUAGCCAAGAUAGGGAAUCAACUGAUGAAUGAAUAAAGAAAAUGUGGUAUACAUAAUAUAAUGGAAUACCAUUUUGCCUUAAAAAGGAGGAAAUCGGGUCAUCUGCAACAAGCUAAGUGAAAAAAACCAGGCACAGAAGGACAAAUACUGUAUGAUCUCACUUACAUGUGGAAUUUAAAAAAGUUUAACUCAUAGAAGCAAAGGGUAGAAUAGUGGUUGCCAGGGACUGGGGCUAGGGGUGGGAGCAGGGAAUGGGGAGUUAUGGUCAAAGACUACAAAGUUUCAAAUAGACAGGAGGAAUAAGAUCUGGUGAACUAUAGUACAGCAUGUGACUAUAGUUAAUAAUAUUGUAUUGUACACUUGAAAGUUGCUAAGAGAGUAGAUUUAAAUGUUCUCAUCACCAAAAAUGAUAAAUAUAUGCAGAAGUGACAGAUAUAUUAAUUUGAUUUAAUUGUUCCACUGUGUAUACAUAUAUCAAAACAUCAUGUUAUACACCAUACAUAUAUACAAUUUUUCACCUUGCCAAUUAGAAAUAAAAAUUAUUCAUAUAAAAUAAAAAUAAAAAUAAAAAAUAAAAUUCAAAUUCAUAACCCAAAUUUCCCUAGACCUCUGCUUCCUCUGCAUAUAACAUGUUUGAGUCUCGCCUAAACUCAAAUUGGACCUCCACAGUCUUAGCAAAACUCUUUUAGAAAGUGCAAUAAUAUUUCUUAAUAAUCUGUCCCAGGUUAUCACUUUCCAUAAGAAUAUCCUUUUUUGAGUUCUCCUUGAAACCAUAGUUCAAAACAAAUGUGUUUGUUCUUGCAUUAUUUUUGGUAGAGAGAAGAACUAUGUGAUAAGAUAAACCUUAAGAUAAAUCCAUGUCUAUUGGGGAUAAAAGUUUUCAGUUAUUCUGCUCUUCACAAACUAACCCUAGUUCCUCUAAUCUUAAAGGUUUUAGCUUUCAACUUUUAGUUAUUUGAAUUUUGGGGGAAAGAUCUCACAUCAAUUUCUCCAUGUUAAGAUUUAAAUAACCAAACUGGAAGUUAAGUUUUUUUUUCUUUUUUGACAGAGUCUAGCUCUGUCGCCCAGGCUGGAGUGCAGUGGUGCGAUCUGGGCUCACUGCCAGCUCCGCCUCCCGGGUUCACGCCAUUCUCCUGCCUCAGCCUCCCCAGUAGCUGGGACUACAGGCGCCCACCACCACGUCCGGCUAAUUUUUUGUAUUUUUAGUAGAGACGGGGUUUCACCGUGUUAGCCAGGAUGGUCUCGAUCUCCCGACCUCAUAAUCCGCCUGCCUCGGCCUCCCAAAGUGCUGGGAUUACAAGCGUGAGCCACCGCGCCGUGCCUGGAAAUGAAUUUUUUACACACCAAGUGAAAAUAAGUGGUAUACAUUUUCACAGGAAAUUUUCCCACAAUAAAAUUUCUAGAUGGAAGUUCAAGUCCUUGUGCCUGAGCUCCUUAGAUUAAAAAGCAUAGCAGUUAUUUAACACUCUUUUAAAAAAGAAAGUAUGAAGACAUGGUGAAACUAUUUUGCUUAUCACAUUGACAUUCCUUUGAGAAGAAAGAAAGAAAAUGACAUGUGGUUGGGAAUUCUUCAGUUUAGCCCUAUAGAGAUUUUUAAAAAUGUUUUAACUUUCAAAGGCGCUUUUAUAGAGCUAUAAAAUUGCCUGUCUCCUCUCCAGGCUAUGCUGUACACAAAUGCAAUUCUAAUUUUUAUCGAAUGCUACUUUGAUCAUUCAGCUGCUUGAUCAAAAUCAAUAAUGACUUAUGGUGUUUCAGAUCAUGUCUAUACUUUUCAAGACCCUUAAUAAUCUGCCUCCAUCCUACCUAUCCUACAUUCUAUUUCACAUUUCCCUAUAAUAAUCUUUGUUAUUACCUUACUGCCUUUCUCUGUCCCUGUCAACUGCAACACAUAAGGGUUUGUAUAUAAAACAUGCACACACACACACACACAUACACACACACACACACAUUUCAUGCAUAUUCUGGCCUUGGGACUUUUACUUAUGCGUUUUUCCUUUUCUGAUGUCUACGUAUGUAUAGUUUUUCUCUUAGCAACAUCUAAACUUCUUUAAAAGUCACCACAAAUUCUACUUUCUUCCAAGAAGCUCCCCGAUGACCGUAACCUACAUUAUCCAUCCACUUUUUUUUUUUUUUUUUUGGUAGGGUCUUGCUCUGUUUCCCAGGCUAGAGUGCAGUGGUAUGAUCACAGCUCACUGCAGCCUUGGCCUCCUGGGCUCAAGCAAUCCUCCCACUUCAGCCUCCCAAGUAGCUGGAACCACAGGCUCAUGCCAACAUGCCCAGCUAAUUUUUAUUUAUUUAUUUUUUCAUUUAUUUUGUAGAGAUAAGAUCUUGCUGUGUUGCCCAGGCUGGUCUCAAGACUCCUGGCUCAAAUGAUCCUCCCACUUCGGCCUCCCAAAGUGCUGGGAUUAAAGGCAUGAGCCACCACUCCUAGGCCACUUUCUUAUUCCUGUUACUUAUUUAGGGUGACACUGUCCAAGACUUGCCUAAAUACCAUUUUAUAGUGUUUCUUUUUUAAUGAACAUAUAAACUGUGUUGUGAUCUUUUGUUUGUUUGUUUGUUUGUUUUUAUUAUUAUUAUUAUACUUUAAGUUUUAGGGUACAUGUGCACAAUGUGCAGGUUAGUUACAUAUGUAUACAUGUGCCAUGCUGGUGUGCUGCACCCAUUAACUCGUCAUUUAGCAUUAGGUAUAUCUCCUAAUGCUAACUCUCCCCCCUCCCCCCACCCCACAACAGGCCCCAGAGUGUGAUGUUCCCCUUCCUGUGUCCAUGUGUUCUCAUUGUUCAGUUCCCAUCUAUGAGUGAGAACAUGCGGUGUUUGGUUUUUUGUCCUUGCAAUAGUUUACUGAGAAUGAUGAUUUCCAGUUUCAUUCAUG